UACGUAGGUGGCAAGCGUUGUUCGGAAUUAUUGGGCGUAAAGGGCGCGUAGGCGGUUGGUUAAGUCAGCUGUGAAAGCCCGGGGCUCAACCCCGGAGGGUCGGCUGAUACUGAUUGACUAGAGUACGGAAGAGGUAGCUGGAAUUCCCGGUGUAGCGGUGAAAUGCGUAGAUAUCUGGAGGAACACCGGUGGCGAAGGCGGCAUCCUGGACCAACACUGACGCUGAGGAGCGAAAGCCAGGGGAGCAAACGGG
rnacentral:rRNA from 1 species